rnacentral:rRNA from 1 species
AACGAACGCUGGCGGCAGGCCUCAAACAUGCAAGUCUAGGGGGUGUAGCAAUACAUCACCGGCGGACGGGUGCGUAACGCGUGGGAAUAUACCUAUCGAUUCGGAACAACUGAGGGAAACUUCAGCUAAUACCGAAUACGUCCUAACGGAGAAAGAUUUAUCGUCGAUAGAUUAGCCCGCGUUCGAUUAGCUAGUUGGUGGGGUAACGGCCCACCAAGGCGACGAUCGAUAGCUGUUCUGAGAGGAAGAUCAGCCACACUGGGACUGAGACACGGCCCAGACUCCUACGGGAGGCAGCAGUUGGGAAUCUUGGACAAUGGGGGAAACCCUGAUCCAGCCAUGCCGCGUGAGUGAUGAAGGCCUUAGGGUUGUAAAGCUCUUUUACCCGGGAUGAUAAUGACAGUACCGGGAGAAUAAGCCCCGGCUAACUCCGUGCCAGCAGCCGCGGUAAU